GCUGGUUGGGGGAGGCUUCACGUACAGCUGCUGUUCCUCAGACAAAGGGUGUGGUGAUCAGGAGGCUGCUGUUGCUUGGAUCUUUCCGUGAGAAGCAGGACUCCACGUAGUCGCGCUGUCCCAGAUCCAGUGUCUCCGGGUUAGCAGCCAAUCUCUGGAUGCCGGGUUUUGGGUGUACAGUAUACAUUUCCAAAAAACAGCCACUCAAGAUGGCGUGGUCUCCGCGGCUGAUCCGGCGAUCCGGGAGAGAUUUCAGCCGCAGUCUCCAACUUUCAAUCCGCUUUCUCAAGGAUUCCUCCACCGUUCCCGGCUGCAAACUGUCUCUCAGCUGAAUAUCCUCUGCUUAUUCGGGCUUUAUGUUACCCGCUUCAGCUGCUCACCCUAACAGCUCCGGGACAAGGCACGGACACGUCCGUCUAUACCUCCGCCAUUUUUUCUCUCCCGAGAAAUAAAUUUUUUGUUUAAAGGGGAGCAGCUGCAUCUUUGAUAUCACUAGAUUUGUUUUUCAAUAUUUUUAUGUGAAAUCAUUCAACAUUUAUAUAUUAGCAUAUGUAUUAGUUUUCUAUUGCUGCAAUAACUAAUUUCCACAAAAUCUGUGGCUUAAAACACAGAUUUGUUAUUGUUGAAGGAACUCAAAAAGAGCCUGGAGGCUUUGGCUAGAAAUAAAUGAUAAGGACUUAUUCAAGGGUCUUGGAGUUUGCAAGCUAGGAACACAGCAAGGAAAAAAAGUGUUCCAAAGCAGAAAGAAAAGUUAAGUUCUUAUAAUAAAAAGUACAUUCUUGAAAAUUAUCAGUCCUGCAUUCUUAGCCUUACAACUGAUCCAGGAUGAUUAUCAGUCAUAUGUCAGGGCAGUCAGGGUGAUGGAUGCCAGGAGGUUUGGUCACAUCCUCUGGUCUGGAUAAUGGAUGUCAGGUGAAUGUAUAUGAGUCCUUCAGAGGGUAAUCAGGUAGUCUGGGUACCUGCGUCCUUCAGGGUUAAACAGGGUUAUCUAGAAGUCCAUUUGUAAAUCCAAGCAUCGACACAGGACUGAAAAGUUAAAAAAAAGUUUAUGUUACCAGGUUAGAACAAGAAUGGAAUCUUUUAUGCCUCAAACUUCAUGUUAAUUUUAGCAGCUUAGUUAAAAUGACUCCAUCUUAUAUAUUCCCCAUCUUCACUCUUUCUUCAUUAUCUGACAGUUCUAGAGAUUAGAAGUCUAGAAUGAUCCUAGCUACCAGACCAGGAUCAAGGAGUUGGCAGGGCUGCAUUUCUUCUGGAGGCUCCGUGGAAGUAGCUUGCCUCUUCCAGCUUCUCAAAGUCAGUAAUGGCAGUAAAUACCUUGGCUAUAGAGGUCCUUGAAUGUAUAUUUACUGCUCCAUCUGUUCUCAAGACUACAUUUGAAUACAGUAUGUGUGUCUGGGCCAUCAAGACAUAAUAGGUUCCAGUUGCACACCCUUGCCAAGCACCAAGGAGAGCUGUGAGAAGCCAACCCAGGAACAUGCAGCACCUCUAUGCAGACCUAACACAGCCAUUCAGGCACUGAGCAGAAGUGCCUGCCCUGUGUGUACAGAUGCUUUGAAUCACAACGGUGAUCCAUAAGAAAAUUAGCAUUAAGCCCUUGCAGACUCAGUGCCUCACUCUAAGAUAACCAAAGUGUCUUUGCUAUUGCUAAUUAAAUCUAAAAACAUAUUUUUCACAUAAAAUCCCUACAGUCUGUAGAAAAUACCAUUGUAUUAUAAAGCAUACUUUAACUCCUUUUUCUGAUUGUAUUUAUGUAUCUGUACAA